rnacentral:lncRNA from 1 species
CUAAGUGUCCACCGGUCCCCCCCAGCCAUCGGGCCCGACUCUGUUCAAGUGGCACUACCCCAGCUGAGACACCCCCUCUCCCAGACCCCCUUGCAGCGACAGGGCCACAUGACCCCCUCUGGCCAAGGAAACAUAAACAGAUUCUGCAUUCUCAGGAAUGGCCUGUGGCUUCCGUGCCAGAGGUGCCCCCCAGCUCCUCUUCCCUCCCUCCCGCCUGGAGGAGAAGCUGCCCCUUUAGGAUCAGAGGGUGAUGAGCCCGUGGCAGACUGAGGAUGCAGAGCCGGGAGACGGAAGAGCAGGGCCCCCGAAUGCAAGUGAUUGAUCCACACUGGCUCCGCACUGCCUGCCUCUGGGCUGUUGGUGAUGUGAGCAAAACAAACCCAUCUUCAUUUAAGUCACCCUUAGUCGCGCUUCCUGUUACUUGCAACUGAAAAGAGUCCUAAAUGAUACAGAUGGUUUGUCAGAGUGGGGCUGAGGAAUGGGACAGGCAUUCGUGCAGGAGGAACGGCAGGAGCAAGUGGAGGAGAGCAGAGGCGCACAGAGACGGCGCGGCGGCCAGGGCUGCUGCUUCUCCACCGUCCAGCCAACUCCGGAUGACCAGUCGUGGCAGCCUGAGGGGAAGCCUUCCGGAAGAUUCCAGCGAAGGAUUCCAGAGUUCUAAGAAAACACCCGAGAAUGGGCAACCUGUCUUUCAGACAUUCUUCACAUCUGGAACUGCGGGCAGCCAGCUCGUUGUCAGGAGGGGACUUGGCCUGGGGACGAAGCUCAUGUCCCAGAGAUCCCAGAACAGAAAGCGGGAGAGACCCAGAUUCCUUAACGCUAUCCCUGAGCCUCCGUAUUACGCCCACUGCAGCUGCCUCAACUCCUGGAUCCUUUGCGUGGUGGUCAGAUUGAAUAAAGCAGACAGCUAACCAGGAAGGCCGUGACGCAGGCUGGAAUCGUGAGUAUGGUCAAGCACCAGCAACAACGGCAUGUUCCUUCGUUGCCAAGCUUGUCACAGCUUUCCAGCUCCUGUCAUUUCAAAGCACCGUUAUAAUUUCUCUUUUGCAUUUUGGAGCCACUGAAAGGGUCAGCAGGCUCACAGAUAUAGAGGGAAUCUAGCCAAGUCCCCACCAUCUGGCACCACCCAGGAGACAGCAUAUGCUGUGGCGCUCUGCAUGCAGCAUCCCUCCAAAUGCCUCCAAAUGAGAUCCUAAAUGCCCCCCAGCCAAGCGCAGGUGGUCCCUGAGGCCCCGCUGAGGAGUGUCAGUCCCCUACAGCUGAUCGGUUCCCCCAUGCCCUCUGUCUUCUGGGGCUUUCCUGAGCCAACAGCCCAAAGGGGACCACUUGGAAGAAAACACUCUUUUUCUUUUUCAGGCUGAAACAGUGCCCUUCGGGCAGGAGGUAUGGAAAAAUAACUGACAUGAGACCAGACUUGCAAGCGCGGGGCACGAACAUGGCACCUACCACGUCCAGGCACUGUACACGGUGCCAAGAACACAAAGAUAAAUAAACCCUGGUUCAU